rnacentral:rRNA from 1 species
UACAAAGGGUGCAAGCGUUACUCGGAAUUACUGGGCGUAAAGCGUGCGUAGGUGGUUGUUUAAGUCUGUUGUGAAAGCCCUGGGCUCAACCUGGGAACUGCAGUGGAAACUGGACAACUAGAGUGUGGUAGAGGGUAGCGGAAUUCCCGGUGUAGCAGUGAAAUGCGUAGAGAUCGGGAGGAACAUCUAUGGCGAAGGCAGCUACCUGGACCAACACUGACACUGAGGCACGAAAGCGUGGGGAGCAAACAGG